GGAAGAAUAGAUAAACCAAACUAACCAAUUUCAUUCAGUUCAGUUUAAUUCGAGCAUUCAAAAUCUACAAUCUGUUUUUUCAGAUUGAAACCUAUUUAAAACCGAACCAACCAAUGGCACACCUCCUAGCUGUUACAGGUAAGGGGUUUCACACUUAAAUUAGUUGAGAUCAAAAGCACAACAAUAAAGACCACUAUUUUCUUCUAUUCUAUAAUGCUUAGGGAGACAGAGGCCCAAGGGAGAACUCGAGAAAUAAUUCCAUCAACAUGAGCUAGACUAAAAAUGAAACUUUUUGAUUU
rnacentral:misc_RNA from 1 species